rnacentral:rRNA from 1 species
GAUGAACGCUGGCGGCGUGCUUAACACAUGCAAGUCGAACGAUGAAGCCCAGCUUGCUGGGUGGAUUAGUGGCGAACGGGUGAGUAACACGUGAGUAACCUGCCCUCAACUCUGGGAUAAGCCUGGGAAAAUGGGUCUAAUACCGGAGAUGAGCGUCCACCGCAUGGUGGGUGUUGGAAAGAUUUCUCGGUUUUGGAUGGACUCGCGGCGUAUCAGCUUGUUGGUGAGGUAAUGGCUCACCAAGGCGGCGACGGGUAGCCGGCCUGAGAGGGUGACCGGCCACACUGGGACUGAGACACGGCCCAGACUCCUACGGGAGGCAGCAGUGGGGAAUAUUGCACAAUGGGCGCAAGCCUGAUGCAGCGACGCCGCGUGAGGGAUGACGGCCUUCGGGUUGUAAACCUCUUUCAGUAGGGAAGAAGCGACAGUGACGGUACCUGCAGAAGAAGCACCGGCUAACUACGUG